GUGUCUCCAUCAUCAUCAUCAUCAUCCUCACAGACUGAGAUCAGUCCAGGUCGCUCUGUGACUCUCUCCUGUCAGUUAUAUUCAUAUGAUGGAUUCUCCUGUAAUUCUGAUGGACUUCAGCUGUUGUGGGUGAAUCAGGCUGGUGUUGAUCUGAGGACAGACUCCAGAUAUCAGAUAUUAUUCUCAUCAGAUCACUGUAUCAUCACUCUGACUACAACACUCCUGAAUGAAGAUGACAACAGAGAGUGGAGAUGUCAGCUUACUCUCAGAAAUCAACUCCAGACCUCAGUCAGAUACACUGUCAAGUAUUCAGUCAGCAGCUCAAACUCUGAGAAGAAAUCAAGCCAAACUACAGCAGCAGCUCCUACACAAGAGAAUCAGAAGUCAUUAAAUACCCCAAACUCUGAGAGGACAGCAGCUG